UACAUCAGUGGCGGAUCCAGAAAAAAAUUUGGGGGUGGUCCCAAAUGAAUAUUGAAUGGUAUGAAAAAGGUUAAAAAAUACCUUCGACAUUAUGGAAGAUCAUGAAUUUGGACAACACCAUGCAAUGCACAUAUUCCUAGGUAAAGGAAUUUAAAGACAUGUAAAACUGAUUUUUAUUUAAGACUCUAUGCAAUAUCUUGCAAUCUAAAAUAGCACAACA
rnacentral:lncRNA from 1 species